rnacentral:rRNA from 1 species
UACGUAGGGUGCAAGCGUUAAUCGGAAUUACUGGGCGUAAAGCGUGCGCAGGCGGCUUUGCAAGACAGAUGUGAAAUCCCCGGGCUUAACCUGGGAACUGCAUUUGUGACUGCAUGGCUGGAGUGCGGCAGAGGGGGAUGGAAUUCCGCGUGUAGCAGUGAAAUGCGUAGAUAUGCGGAGGAACACCGAUGGCGAAGGCAAUCCCCUGGGCCUGCACUGACGCUCAUGCACGAAAGCGUGGGGAGCGAAACAAGGAUUGAGAAACCC